GACGAACGCUGGCGGCGUGCCUAAUACAUGCAAGUAGAACGCACAGUUUAUACCGUAGCUUGCUACACCAUAGACUGUGAGUUGCGAACGGGUGAGUAACGCGUAGGUAACCUGCCUGGUAGCGGGGGAUAACUAUUGGAAACGAUAGCUAAUACCGCAUAAUAUUGAUUAUUGCAUGGUAAUUAAUUGAAAGGUGCAAUUGCACCACUACCAGAUGGACCUGCGUUGUAUUAGCUAGUAGGUGAGGUAACGGCUCACCUAGGCGACGAUACAUAGCCGACCUGAGAGGGUGAUCGGCCACACUGGGACUGAGACACGGCCCAGACUCCUACGGGAGGCAGCAGUAGGGAAUCUUCGGCAAUGGACGAAAGUCUGACCGAGCAACGCCGCGUGAGUGAAGAAGGUUUUCGGAUCGUAAAGCUCUGUUGUAAGAGAAGAACGGGUGAGAGAGUGGAAAGUUCACACUGUGACGGUAUCUUACCAGAAAGGGACGGCUAACUACGUG
rnacentral:rRNA from 1 species